CAUAAUGCCAGACAUGGAAGAAAUUAGUCCGGAAAAAUACUGAGUUUCUGAAAACGAUUUUCUGAAAAAAUAAGAUGGAAAUUGAAAGUAAAUUGGGUCUGUACUUUUGGUUACUAAAAUGGGUCUGGAAUGAAAAAAUUGUUAAAGGUCUCUUUGGACCAACUAAUUCUUGCUUUGGGAGAGCUGGACUCAAAUCCUUUUGUGCCUGAGAGGUCCACACCUCUGGACCUUCAGCUGUGUAAAAAUUCAACAGUGAGCCCUGUGGCUGACAAUUCUGCCAGAGUGCUGGAAACCCUCUGCCCCAUGUCCAAGGAAGAGUGGAGGACAGGCAACAUCAUGCUGUGUACAGAAGCAGACAGAGCAGCACCUUCUUGCUCCAGCCUGCGCGUCAGAGCUGCCAUCCACCUCAUGUGAACACCUACUGGGAAAUUCAGACCACCUAGGGAGGUAGCACAGGAAGCAAGGAG
rnacentral:lncRNA from 1 species